rnacentral:rRNA from 1 species
AUUGAACGCUGGCGGCAUGCCUUACACAUGCAAGUCGAACGGCAGCAUGAUCUAGCUUGCUAGAUUGAUGGCGAGUGGCGAACGGGUGAGUAAUACAUCGGAACGUGCCCUGUAGUGGGGGAUAACUAGUCGAAAGAUUAGCUAAUACCGCAUACGACCUGAGGGUGAAAGUGGGGGACCGCAAGGCCUCAUGCUAUAGUAGCGGCCGAUGUCUGAUUAGCUAGUUGGUGAGGUAAAGGCUCACCAAGGCGACGAUCAGUAGCUGGUCUGAGAGGACGAUCGCCCACACUGGGACUGGGACACGGCCCAGGCUCCUACGGGAGGCAGCAGUGGGGAAUUUUGGACAAUGGGCGAAAGCCUGAUCCAGCAAUGCCGCGUGUGUGAAGAAGGCCUUCGGGUUGUAAAGCACUUUUGUCCGGAAAGAAAUGGCUCUGGUUAAUACCUGGGGUCGAUGACGGUACCGGAAGAAUAAGGACCGGCUAACUACGUG